rnacentral:rRNA from 1 species
AUUGAACGCUGGCGGCAGGCCUAACACAUGCAAGUCGAGCGGCAGCGGGAAAGUAGCUUGCUACUUUUGCCGGCGAGCGGCGGACGGGUGAGUAAUGCCUGGGAAAUUGCCCAGUCGAGGGGGAUAACCGUUAGAAACGACUGCUAAUACCGCACACGCCCUACGGGGGAUAGCAGGGGACCUUCGCGCCUUGCGCGAGUGGAUAUGCCCAGGUGGGGUUAGCUAGUUGGUGAGGGAAUGGCUCACCAAGGCGACGAUCCGUAGCUGGGCUGAGAGGAUGGUCGGCCACACUGGAACUGAGACACAGUGCAGACUCCUACGGGAGGCAGCAGUGGGGAAUAUGGCGAAAUGGGGGAAACCCUGAUGCAGCCAUGCCGCGUGUGUGAAGAAGGCCUUCGGGUUGUAAAGCACUUUCAGCGAGGAGGAAAGGUUGAUGCCUAAUACGUAUCAACUGUGACGUUACUCGCAGAAGAAGCACCGGCUAACUCCGUGCCAGCAGCCGCCGUAAAAC